CGAGUUCUCGUUGAUGAUUGGUGCUUGCACCGAGAUUCAACAUGGAACGAGUGGCGGACGGGUGAGUAACACGUGGGUAACCUGCCCUUAAGUGGGGGAUAACAUUUGGAAACAGAUGCUAAUACCGCAUAGAUCCAAGAACCGCAUGGUUCUUGGCUGAAAGAUGGCGUAAGCUAUCGCUUUUGGAUGGACCCGCGGCGUAUUAGCUAGUUGGUGAGGUAAUGGCUCACCAAGGCGAUGAUACGUAGCCGAACUGAGAGGUUGAUCGGCCACAUUGGGACUGAGACACGGCCCAAACUCCUACGGGAGGCAGCAGUAGGGAAUCUUCCACAAUGGACGCAAGUCUGAUGGAGCAACGCCGCGUGAGUGAAGAAGGCUUUCGGGUCGUAAAACUCUGUUGUUGGAGAAGAAUGGUCGGCAGAGUAACUGUUGUCGGCGUGACGGUAUCCAACCAGAAAGCCACGGCUAACUACGUGCCAGCAG
rnacentral:rRNA from 2 species